AAAAAAUUCUAGGUCCAAGACGUGCCAAGAAAGGUUAGAUAUAUUGGACAAUAUUUUAAAAGGAGAGAUGUUUUGGGUGACCUGCUAUUUUGCUGUCCAGCUUGAGAUGAUGCCAAUGGCCACAGAGUAAUAAAAGGGCCACUGAAUAUGGCCUCGUUCCCAUGGCUCACCAGCAGUAAGCAUCUCUACCACCUCCAUGUCUGGAGCAGGAAUUCCAGCAGGAAGGACGCAGCCUCCAGAACCAUUUGACCAGAAGAUCCAAGUGCGACUGGACUGCUGGCCCUGAUACGGCUCCUCAAAGUCUC
rnacentral:lncRNA from 1 species